AAGACUAUACUUUCAGAGAUCAUUUCUAUAGUUUAUUACUAGAGAAACUCCACUGAUAACAGACAGAAAGGGAAGGCUAUUGAAGCU
rnacentral:snoRNA from 1 species